GUAACGGUGUCUUUAGACACCACGUCUCUUCUUCAAAAAACAAUUG
rfam:Picea glauca, whole genome shotgun sequence.